UUGGAUAACCGUGGUAAUUCUAGAGCUAAUACAUGCUAAAAGACCCGACUUUGGAAGGGUUGUAUUUAUUAGAUUAAAAGCCAAUGCCCUCUGGGCUCACUGGUGAAUCAUAGUAACUUCGCGAAUCGCAUGGCCUUGUGCCGGCGAUGGCUCAUUCAAAUUUCUUCCCUAUCAACUUUCGAUGUUUGGGUAGUGGCCAAACAUGGUUGCAACGGGUAACGGAGGGUUAGGGCUCGACCCCGGAGAAGGAGCCUGAGAAACGGCUACUACAUCCAAGGAAGGCAGCAGGCGCGCAAAUUACCCAAUCCCGAUACGGGGAGGUAGUGACAAUAAAUACUGAUACAGGGCUCUUUUGGGUCUUGUAAUUGGAAUGAGUACAAUUUAAAUCCCUUAACGAGGAACAAUUAGAGGGCAAGUCUGGUGCCAGCAGCCGCGGUAAUUCCAGCUCUAAUAGCGUAUAUUAAAGUUGUUGUGGUUAAAAAGCUCGUAGUUGAACCUUGGGCCUGGCUGGCAGGUCCGCCUCACCGCGUGCACUUCGCCGGCCGGGCCUUUCCCUCUGUGGAACCCUAUGCCCUUCACUGGGUGUAGCGGGGAAACAGGACUUUUACUUUGAAAAAAUUAGAGUGCUCCAGGCAGGCCUAUGCUCGAAUACAUUAGCAUGGAAUAAUAAAAUAGGACGCGCGGUUCUAUUUUGUUGGUUUCUAGGACCGCCGUAAUGAUUAAUAGGGACAGUCGGGGGCAUCAGUAUUCAAUUGUCAGAGGUGAAAUUCUUGGAUUUAUUGAAGACUAACUACUGCGAAAGCAUUUGCCAAGGAUGUUUUCAUUAAUCAGGAACGAAAGUUAGGGGAUCGAAGACGAUCAGAUACCGUCGUAGUCUUAACCAUAAACUAUGCCGACUAGGGAUCGGACG
rnacentral:rRNA from 1 species